rnacentral:rRNA from 1 species
UGAACCUGCGGAAGGAUCAUUGUCGA